rnacentral:rRNA from 1 species
AUUGAACGCUGGCGGCAGGCCUAACACAUGCAAGUCGAACGAGUGGCGGACGGGUGAGUAAUGUCUGGGAAACUGCCUGAUGGAGGGGGAUAACUACUGGAAACGGUAGCUAAUCCCGCAUACCAUCAGAUGUUCCCAGAUGGGAUUAGCUUGUUGGUGGGGUAACGGCUCACAAAGUCGACGAUCCCUAGCUGGUCUGAGAGGAUGACCAGACACAAUGGAACUGUGACACGGUCCAGACUCCUACGGGAGGCAGCAGUGGGGAAUAUUGCACAAUGGGCGCAAGCCUGAAGCAGCCAUGCCGCGCGUAUGAAGAAGGCCGGCGGGUGGUCAAGUACUUUCAGCGGGGAGGCGUUACCCGCAGAAGAAGCACCGGCUAACUCCGUGCAAGCAGCCGCGGUAAUAC